AGAGUUUGAUCCUGGCUCAGAUUGAACGCUGGCGGCAUGCCUUACACAUGCAAGUCGAACGGCAGCACGGGUGCUUGCACCUGGUGGCGAGUGGCGAACGGGUGAGUAAUAUAUCGGAACGUACCCUAGAGUGGGGGAUAACGUAGCGAAAGUUACGCUAAUACCGCAUACGAUCUACGGAUGAAAGUGGGGGAUCGCAAGACCUCAUGCUCAUGGAGCGGCCGAUAUCUGAUUAGCUAGUUGGUGAGGUAAAAGCUCACCAAGGCUUCGAUCAGUAGCUGGUCUGAGAGGACGACCAGCCACACUGGAACUGAGACACGGUCCAGACUCCUACGGGAGGCAGCAGUGGGGAAUUUUGGACAAUGGGCGCAAGCCUGAUCCAGCAAUGCCGCGUGAGUGAAGAAGGCCUUCGGGUUGUAAAGCUCUUUUGUCAGGGAAGAAAUGGAUUUUUCUAAUACAGAGAUCUAAUGACGGUACCUGAAGAAUAAGCACCGGCUAACUACGUGCCAGCAGCCGCGGUAAUACGUAGGGUGCAAGCGUUAAUCGGAAUUACUGGGCGUAAAGCGUGCGCAGGCGGUUGUGCAAGACAGAUGUGAAAUCCCCGGGCUCAACCUGGGAAUUGCAUUUGUGACUGCACGGCUAGAGUGUGUCAGAGGGGGGUAGAAUUCCACGUGUAGCAGUGAAAUGCGUAGAGAUGUGGAGGAAUACCGAUGGCGAAGGCAGCCCCCUGGGAUAACACUGACGCUCAUGCACGAAAGCGUGGGGAGCAAACAGGAUUAGAUACCCUGGUAGUCCACGCCCUAAACGAUGUCUACUAGUUGUCGGGUCUUAAUUGACUUGGUAACGCAGCUAACGCGUGAAGUAGACCGCCUGGGGAGUACGGUCGCAAGAUUAAAACUCAAAGGAAUUGACGGGGACCCGCACAAGCGGUGGAUGAUGUGGAUUAAUUCGAUGCAACGCGAAAAACCUUACCUACCCUUGACAUGUCUGGAAUCCCUGAGAGAUUAGGGAGUGCUCGAAAGAGAAUCAGAACACAGGUGCUGCAUGGCUGUCGUCAGCUCGUGUCGUGAGAUGUUGGGUUAAGUCCCGCAACGAGCGCAACCCUUGUCAUUAGUUGCUACGAAAGGGCACUCUAAUGAGACUGCCGGUGACAAACCGGAGGAAGGUGGGGAUGACGUCAAGUCCUCAUGGCCCUUAUGGGUAGGGCUUCACACGUCAUACAAUGGUACAUACAGAGGGCCGCCAACCCGCGAGGGGGAGCUAAUCCCAGAAAGUGUAUCGUAGUCCGGAUUGGAGUCUGCAACUCGACUCCAUGAAGUUGGAAUCGCUAGUAAUCGCGGAUCAGCAUGUCGCGGUGAAUACGUUCCCGGGUCUUGUACACACCGCCCGUCACACCAUGGGAGCGGGUUUCACCAGAAGUGGGUAGCCUAACCGCAAGGAGGGCGCUCACCACGGUGGGAUUCGUGACUGGGGUGAAGUCGUAACAAGGUA
rnacentral:rRNA from 1 species